GGGUCAGUAGGUUGGUCGUGCCACCGGUACGUACUGGUCUCACUGAUUCCUCCUUCCUGAAGAACCGUAAUGCCAUUAAUUUGGUGUUGCGGGGAGACAGGGCUGUUACUUUGAAAAAGUUAGAGUGUUUAAAGCAAGCUAACGCUUGAAUACAUUAGCAUGGAAUAAUGAAAUAGGACGAUCGAUCCUAUUUUGUUGGUUUCUAGGAUUGACGUA
rnacentral:rRNA from 1 species